ensembl:lncRNA
CGCCAGUUUCAUUUGGACUGCUGCGAUGUUUUUUCUCCAUCCCUUUUAAUCCAUCGCCGUCCUAACUACGAAGCUCCACGUAAAGUAUAUUCAAAAAUGGUAAAUGCUGAAUUCACUCGUAUCACUACAGUCCCCUUGUUGUCGACCUUUAUGCCCCGACUGGAUCCCCACACCAGCCAACUAAUGAGGGUGUUUAAGAAGGCCAGAGGAUAAAGUAGUGUCAGAUGACUCCAGUGUGCUUCAGACAACACAUCUAACACAACCUGCUGCGGGUAUAAAUCAUUGACUUGGAACCUGCGUGUAGUCCGUGACAAUUAGCUGGAAAUACUACCUGCUUUUCCUGUUGAUGACUUGUUGCCACGCGUCUGUGUCGCCUUUCCAUCUUGACAUUUGUGUGCAAUAAAAU